rnacentral:rRNA from 1 species
UUACACAUGCAAGCCUCAACACACCAGUGCGCACAACCCCAUACUACCACGUAGUAGGGAACAGGUAUCAGGCACGACACCACGGCCAACAACGCCAAGCAACGCCACACCUCCACAGGACACAGCAGUGAUUAACAUUAAACCAUGCCCAAACCCGAUUUAGUCUACGGCCACCACAAUACUGGUAAAUUUCGUGCCAGCCACCGCGGUUAUACGAAAAAUCUAAAAUAAUUUCGCCCCGGCGUAAAGCGUGACUAAUUCUUUUUCCCCCGCCGGGGGCAAAAAAUACUGUAACUGCCGUAAAACGCCCAUACUAGUAAAACCCCCCCCGCCCCCCCACACCGGCCCACACCACUCACGAAAGCUAGAACACAAACUAGGAUUAGAUACCCUACUAUGCCUAGCCAUAAACUGAUUUCCCAAAACAAAUAAUCCGCCAGAGAACUACAGGCAACAGCCCGAAACUCCAAGGACUUGACGGUGUCUUACACAACCUAGAGGAGCCUGUCCUAUAAUCGAUACCCCACGUUCUACCUCACCUUUUCUUGCACCUCCAACCUAUAUACCGCCGUCGUCAGCUCACCUCAUGAGAGCACAGUGAACAAAACAUUCUCUCCACUAACACGUCAGGUCAAGGUGUAGUACACGAACAGGCAGAGAUGGGCUACACUCCCAACCACGAGGACACCAACAGCAACAUGAAACACUGCCUAAAAGGUGGAUUUAGCAGUAAGGAGGGCAAGAAAGCCCUCCUGAAGCCAGCCCAAAGACACGCACACACCGCCCGUCACCCUCAUC